rnacentral:lncRNA from 1 species
UUUUUUUUUUUUCUGCUGGCACUCUACUUCAUCAUCUGAUUUUGCACCGAGGCUGUGUCAUCACAGGGAGUCUACCGGAUUCAUUUGUUUUUCCAAAGUGGAUUCCCAUGACUGAGUCACUUUAUUUCUUUAUAUCUGGAGCAGUAGAAAUAUUUGCUUCUUAGAAACUGUCAAGGCAGCAAAUGGACACUUUAAUAAGAACCAUACUUCUCAUCUGUGAGAUCCAGUAUUUUUAAUUAGCUAGCUGGACAGCCACUUGUCUUCUUUAAGGUAUAAAUUAUUAAAGGCCACCGGAGGAAAACAUCCAUUUAAUGCAAUGACAUGCUUACAACCAUUUAUGUCUCAGUAACUUGGCUUUGCUCAGUUGUACUCUGUGGAGAAAUAAUGGCAAUAGUACAAAAGAAUCAUCACUAGGAUGUGAUCCCAGGGAGCCAAGAAUGUUCCACCACUGUCAAAAUUACACAUCCCUAAUAAUGUGUUAAAGGCACAGGAAACAUCUUUGUUGUCAUUGAAGCAAGUCCCAGCACUAGGGAUGGAAAGUCUGAUUCUGGCUCUGCAAAUCCCCACAUGUUUAAUGGGGCUCAUGGCACACUCAUCGAGAAGAAAGUGGGAGAUGGUCAGUGCCAGAGCUGUACAAAAUGGUCUGUGAUGAAAUCAAUUUAUAACCCCUUUUUAAAAAGCUUCUUCAUCUAUAUAUAAUCACAUUUUUAAAGAACUGUAUUUGUAUAUAGGCUGGGAUUUACUACUAGAAGUGAAUGUAAUCUCUGAAUAUAACAUAAGGAGGGCAUGUCAUUAGGAAGCAAUCAUUGUCAUUAAUGGUAGGUACAAUAUUAGCAAUAGCACUGCCUACUGUGACUUAUAGGGCAACCCUUGGGUGCCACAUAUGGUGCACAUUUCAUUGUUCCCACAGCCCUGUUUAGCCGGUGAGGAAAGAAAGCCAAAGAGGCUGGUGACAUUACACAGAGAUGAUGCUCUGGUCAAACCUGAUCUGCCUCAGCUCAGGGUCUCCUCCAGGAAGCCCUCUCUGACCUUUACACACCAUCUAUAGCCAUAUCUUGGCCAUACCCUGGGGCCGCUAUGCAUCUAUCCGCACUCCCCAUCCUCCAUCCCCCGCCCCCCUUGCCCUAGACUACAAGACCAGGCUGAGAACUCCUUCCUCAUUUAUUCUCAGCCCUGGCCCAAAGCAGCCUCUGAAUAAAUUCCUCCAAAAUGAACCCUGUCAAGUCAGGCCCCUCCUUCCUUUGUGGCGAGGUAUAGCCACCUCUCUAUCCCCAUGUGGUCCUCUGACUCAUGCUCACUGGCACCUGCGGUGUGAACUCUGUGAAAGGGGCCAUCGCUUACAGAUGCAAAUAAAGCAUGACAUAACCAGUGUUGGAAAUGAGUCUUUUCUAAAAAAGGAACACCACAAGGGAGAAGGGGCAAAUGUCGAGAGAUGGCCAGUAGACCAUGAGGACAACCCUCUGCCAAGAGAUAUAUUUUGUAACUGAAAUCUUGCUGGCAGCUCCCUGCAAGUAAGCAAAGGCAGGAAGGGUCUGGGGAGUUUGUUGUGAAGGCCAAAAGUCUGUGCAGUUGGAGCAGUGGGGACAGCCCAGGAUAAGGGACCACAGCUGAAGGACUGAGGAAGCACCAAAAGCCUCAUCUGAAACUUAGCCCCAUAUUCAUAUCCGUGUUUGAAGACGAAAUAGUAUUCACAAGAAACAGAGUCCGUGGGUCUGGAGGGGAAUACCAGGUAGAUUAGAAGUGGAUAAUUCUAUCAGACUUUACAGUGAAGUACAGGCUCCAAGCCGAGACUGUCUGCCGUUGAAUUCUGCUGUGCCACUUUCCAGGGCAUGGGAUCUUGGACCAGUUUUUAACCUGUCUGCCCCAAACCCUCUGUAAAAUGGGGAUGAUGCUAAUAUGGAUUUAACUGGGUUGUUCUGAAGAUUAAGAAGGUUAGUACCAGUGAAGCACUCCGACCAACCACCGCUGCCAAUGUGGGCUGAGCACCUGCUAAAUGUCAGCGCUGUUGGAAGUGCCAUACAUGUGCUAAGUCACAAGAUCCACUUAGAGUCCCCAGGAGGCUGGUACUUGUAUUAGCAUCAUCCCUAUUUCACAGAUGCAGAAAUGAAUGUACAGGUUACCUUUUAUCUUUCCUGAGAUCACACAGCUAAGAAGCAGCAAAGCCGGAGGUUCGAUCUAGAUAUUCUGGAACCACAAUCUGUCUUCCAAAAACUGUGCUAUUCUGUGUUGCAAAAAUACUUUUUUGUUAGUAUCAAGGUACCUAUUGUAGGUUGAAUUGAACUGUUUUUCCCCGAAAGAUCUAUUGAAAUCCUAACACCUGGUAUCUGUUUGUUCUCAUUUGGGUGGAUUUUUCACCACCAUCCCCCGACAUGUGUCUAAAUCUGUUAGGAAUAUUUCCCAUAUGUAAGUGCUCACGUAACUGUUGAAGGGACUCAUCAAAUGAACAGGUCCUCUGUGAUAAUACCACACAUGGCCUUGAGUAAUGAAAGCAAACUCAGUAAAUGAAAAUUCCAUUUUACCCUAAAAUAAAUUCUUUUAAGGAGCAUGGAUUACAUUCUGCUCCACUGUUAACCUUUGAAAUAGAGUUGCCUCCUCUCCUCUGUCCCUCACCCCCCCCCCCCCACCAUGAUCUCUCUGUGUAGGAAGAAGAAAUGAGAGGGAGGAAACAUUGUCCCUGUCAUUUCUAUCUGACCAAGAAGCAAGGACUGGUUGGUGAUCUGGAAAUGGCAGGGUCCAUUGGCAUGUCCCCUGGAGGCAAGAAAGAAUGGGAUCCAGGGCACACCCAGGGUCUGACGGGACAUUUUGAGCCAGCAGGUGUAAGCCAGAGCUCAGCAAGGACCUCAGGCUCUGACAAGGAAGUAUCGAGCAGAUAAAAGCUAGAAAUUUCUACACCCACUGAAGACCAUGUCUGAGAGUAGGGAGGCAGAAUGUAGAACUCACAGCUGCACAAUAUUUUUGUGAAAGAAUGGAAGGGCACCAACUGCCAUAUUACAGAGGCUAAUUCUGAGUGGAGGGGACAACAGAUGGCUUCUGUUUUGUUUUCAUUUUAUUUUGUUCUGUGGUUUUGUUUUGUUUGUUUUUGGUGCUUUCCAUGUGUUCUGCAACAAACACCUAUGAUUUCUGGAACUGGAAAAGUUAUUUUUAAGAAUAUGAGCAUGGGGUAGGGAGAAGAUGGUAUAUAUUGUAAGACAUCAUGAGUGAUGACAUAAAAGUCACUAUAUAAAAGAUCACCAUUGAAAGACAAGCUGGAAAGUUUAAAAUUUUACUGUGAAAAAAAUAGUUCGCAACUGAUAAGAAGUGUUGAAACCUUGUAUAGCAAAGAAUUUGUCAGUGUCUGCCGUGUUCGAAUCAGUGACUUGGGGCUCCUGACUUGGGGCUCUUACCCUGGCCAUUCCCUCUGCUCCAGCACUUUCCCCCAGACUUCUGC